rnacentral:lncRNA from 1 species
UUUGGUGAUUUCAAUCCUGGGAUUCGGCUAUCAGAUACCUGCCGCAAUAAAUGAUGCCCUGGAGAGCCUCUGGACCACCUUGAUGGGGUUGAGGUGGCAGGGAGAAUAUGACUUUGGGAUGACACAGGGGAUGUUGACAAAGACGAAGGUGAAGGCAAAGUUGGUGAAGGUGAAGGCAAAGCGGGUGAGAGUUUAGCAGGAGACGGAUCUGAAACUCCUGGGGAUCCAGUUGAUUCCUUCACCUAGAACAUGAUUAUAAACACAGAAGUAUAUCAUAUUAAGGAAAAGAAAAUAUUAAAUCCAGAAUCAUAAACCAC